rnacentral:rRNA from 1 species
GAGCAAUCUGCCCCUGACUCUGGGAUAAGCGCUGGAAACGGCGUCUAAUACCGGAUACGAGCCGAGCAGGCAUCUGCAUCGGUUGGAAAGAACUUCGGUCAGGGAUGAGCUCGCGGCCUAUCAGCUUGUUGGUGAGGUAAUGGCUCACCAAGGCCACGACGGGUAGCCGGCCUGAGAGGGUGACCGGCCACACUGGGACUGAGACACGGCCCAGACUCCUACGGGAGGCAGCAGUGGGGAAUAUUGCACAAUGGGCGAAAGCCUGAUGCAGCAACGCCGCGUGAGGGACGAAGGCCUUCGGGUUGUAAACCUCUUUUAGCAGGGAAGAAGCGAGAGUGACGGUACCUGCAGAAAAAGCACCGGCUAACUACGUGCCAGCAGCCGCGGUAAUACGUAGGGUGCGAGCGUUAUCCGGAAUUAUUGGGCGUAAAGAGCUCGUAGGCGGUCUGUCGCGUCUGCUGUGAAAACCCGAGGCUCAACCUCGGGCUUGCAGUGGGUACGGGCAGACUAGAGUGCGGUAGGGGAGAUUGGAAUUCCUGGUGUAGCGGUGGAAUGCGCAGAUAUCAGGAGGAACACCGAUGGCGAAGGCAGAUCUCUGGGCCGUUACUGACGCUGAGGAGCGAAAGCGUGGGGAGCAAACAGGCUUAGAUACCCUGGUAGUCCACGCCGUAAACGUUGGGAACUAGAUGUGGGGACCAUUCCACGGUCUCCGUGUCGUAGCUAACGCAUUAAGUUCCCCGCCUGGGGAGUACGGCCGCAAGGCUAAAACUCAAAGG